rnacentral:lncRNA from 1 species
GAGAAUCGGCUAGGGUUUCUUGGGAAGAAGGAGCUUCCAGCACCUAUAAAAAAGGGCAUCUCCUACCUAGCAAAACAUCACAUCCAGAGCGAGCAAGCAUCCUCACUCACUGCUGGAACCUUCGAUUUCAAGCCUUGUUCUCCCAUCUUCUCCCCUUUUUCUCUUCUGGCAAACCAUCCAAGAGUGCCACGAAGCUUUUGUCAAGUGACUAGAAAUUUACUCAAGCUACCAAUCCUUUCACCCUCAUCUCUUCCUCUCUUCCCUCAACAAAUCUUCCCAAAUUUCCCUCUCCCCGUGCCACUAACCUCUGUCUCUCAUAAUAAAUACAAGCUCUCUCUCUCUCUCUCUCUCUCUCUCUCUCUCUCUCUCUCUCAUGCUAAACUCAUGAAUGCUCAGCUCCCAUGCCACAAGCUUCUCAAGCCAAGCCAAAAUAUUGAUUUGUAAGCAGCUAUUUGUUUUGUUAGUGAAAGAAACUAAAGUGCUUCCUAAGGCUCCACUAACCUUUUGAAGCACUCUUGGGGCCUGAUUCUUGAACUCAGACAUAGGGUCAACUCCACCCAUUUGCUCUUUAUAGCAGCCUAAGGCUAUUUGUAGUUGUUGGAACAAAAAAGCCCCUACACAUAUCAUAAUAUAUAC